GAUUCCCUGAGCCUUGACAAAGCAGGAGCCCUCCGUGGCGGUGCGUCGGUGUCGAGGCUCCAGUCUGACUAAUCCAGGGGGUCGACAAAACAGAUUCGGGACACUAUGCUACACGGAGGGCCUACCAGGAUGCAGAAACAGCAGACGGAGUCCAGGGAAAGCAGUGCGGCAUCCCAGCCUCAGGCCUGCCCGUACGGUGUUCGGAAAUACUAGGCUUUAGAAUUUCACCAUAUGAAUUUUGGGAGAGAGGAGCACAGUUCAGCCCAUAACUAACACACGUGAUGAAGAAGACAUGCCAACAGAGGGUUAAUUCCAGAUAAAAUGAAAUGUUCCAAACAGUACGUUUGGUUAUUUGAUUCAUCUGUGGGGGAAGGAAAGAUAAUUUUCCAAAGGACAUUCCUCCUAAAUUCUGUCUUAAAGUUGUUUACGGAAUGAAGUUGAUAAUAGUGAGACCUUGUUGGUACAAGACUAUGUAACAUAACCUGCGCUUCUCAACAAAGAAUUGCUUUUCUGACUUCUGCACUCAAUAGCAAGACAAAUCUCUCCUCUGCCUUCUCCUUAUCAGACUACUCAACAUGAAGGCAAUAAGAAUGAAGACCUCUAUGUAUAAUAAUUGACUUCCACUUAAUAAAUAAGGUUACUUGGUACACUGGUCGACAAAACCUUGAAAUGUUGAUGUUUAAGGGCUGUUGAUUGCUGGCAGCAAAGAAGUCCAACUGUGCUGGUACCCGAGAUAGCGUCUCCACAUUUUCUUCCAGGAUCAUCACCUUUGUUCUAAAUAGCUCCCACAUAGUGUGAACAGAAGUCAUAUGUUUUAGAUUUUCUGCCUUGGCACCC
rnacentral:lncRNA from 10 species